AGUGAACGCUGGCGGUAGGCCUAACACAUGCCAGUCGAACGGCAGCACAGUAAGAGCUUGCUCUUACGGGUGGCGAGUGGCGGACGGGUGAGGAAUACAUCGGAAUCUACUUUUUCGUGGGGGAUAACGUAGGGAAACUUACGCUAAUACCGCAUACGACCUACGGGUGAAAGCAGGGGAUCUUCGGACCUUGCGCGAUUGAAUGAGCCGAUGUCGGAUUAGCUAGUUGGCGGGGUAAAGGCCCACCAAGGCGACGAUCCGUAGCUGGUCUGAGAGGAUGAUCAGCCACACUGGAACUGAGACACGGUCCAGACUCCUACGGGAGGCAACAGUGGGGAAUAUUGGACAAUGGGCGCAAGCCUGAUCCAGCCAUACCGCGUGGGUGAAGAAGGCCUUCGGGUUGUAAAGCCCUUUUGUUGGGAAAGAAAAGCAGCAGGUUAAUACCCCGCUGUUCUGACGGUACCCAAAGAAUAAGCACCGGCUAACUUCGUG
rnacentral:rRNA from 1 species